rnacentral:rRNA from 1 species
UACGGAGGGUGCGAGCGUUAAUCGGAAUUACUGGGCGUAAAGGGCGCGUAGGCGGCCUUCUAAGUCGAACGUGAAAUCCCCGGGCUCAACCCGGGAACUGCGUCCGAUACUGGAAGGCUUGAAUCCGGGAGAGGGAUGCGGAAUUCCAGGUGUAGCGGUGAAAUGCGUAGAUAUCUGGAGGAACACCGGUGGCGAAGGCGGCAUCCUGGACCGGCAUUGACGCUGAGGCGCGAAAGCCAGGGGAGCAAACGGG